CCCACCCUCUCCUUCCUUGGCUCCCUCCCUCUUAACAUAGAGCAGGCAAGGCUGCUAUUAUUAGUCUGGGGUGUCAGGCCUGUUCCUCUGCAAACUUCUCUUAAUAUCACCUCCUGGGGGGUUUGCCCUGAAAACAAAGAGCCUUGGUGUUGUGGCACCUUUAAAAAGCCAAGGGACAUAGGAAACUAACUUAUGUUUUUGGAGGAAAGCCUUUUAGCUCAGUGCUUUGCAAGCAGAAGGUCCAAUCCCUGGUUUCCAUCUCCAGGUAGGGCUAGGAGAGAUUCCCGGUUUGAAACCCUGGGGAACUAAUCAGUGUUGACGAUCCUAAGAUAGAUGGAGCAACUCAGUCUAAUGGAUAUUUAUUUGGGGGAAAUCCAUGGGUCAGUGGAAGAGGACCUGCCUUGCAUGGAUGAAGCUCCCGGGUUUAAUCCCUGGCAUCUCCAGUGCCUUUCCCAAUCGCUAUCUCCUAAAUGCAAGACAUCCGUUCGUUUCUAAGUGGAUUUGCUAUGGCGACGGAAAGCUUCAAGGCCGUUUUAUUGCUCAAACCGACAUUUCUGGUUUAAUCUUGCGUGCCUCAGAGGACCGAACCGCCUGGGUGCAAGAGGCAGCGAAUCCACCGAGCGGAAGAGGCACGCUACAAGAGACACCCGUGUAAAAUAUCAUCGCUGGAGGCCACUGCCUUGGUAAAUGUCUCCUCUGUAU